rnacentral:rRNA from 1 species
CCUACGGGUGGCAGCAGUGGGGAAUAUUGCACAAUGGGGGAAACCCUGAUGCAGCAACGCCGCGUGAGUGAAGAAGGUUUUCGGAUCGUAAAGCUCUGUUAGCAGGGAAGAGGAAGGACGGUACCUGCAGAGGCAGCCACGGCCAACUACGUUCCAGCAGGCUCGGUAAUACGUAGGGGGCAAGCCUUGUUCGGAAUAACUGGGCGUAAAGGUUACGUAGGCGGUUAAACAAGUUAUAUGUUAAAUAUAUAAGCUUAACCUGUAGAAAGCAUAUAAAACUGUUUAACUAGAGUGCAGGAGAGGUAAGUGGAAUUCCUAGUGUAGCGGUGAAAUGCGUAGAGAUUAGGAAGAACACCAGUGGCGAAGGCGACUUACUGGACUGUAACUGACGCUGAGGCAUGAGAGCAUGGGGAGCAAACAGGAUUAGAUACCCGGGUAGUC